GCAUCUUUCAUACUUGAAUAUGCAACUUUAUUUAUGCAAAUACUGCCUGAUUCAUCUUUGAAGAAUCUAGAAUACUUCAUUCAAUGGAAAAUGUUACUCACAUCUAACUGGUGAUGAAGAUUGAUUGAAAUCAUUUCACAUUUAUGGAAGUAGUCAUACGUCACACGUCUUCAUUAAAAUCAAUUCAACUUUCCACUACAUCUCGCCA
rnacentral:lncRNA from 11 species